UUCAGACCUGAGUCCUUUGAGUGGAAGGUGUCUGAUCGAAGUGCGGUGCCACUGUGCCCUCUGCUGCCCGUACCGGCUAUUUUCUAUUUAAUUUUUUUUUUGCAAAGGGUAAAGUAUAACUUUUCGAAAGGUUGAUGCAGUCACUGGAAUUAAGGCUCGGAUUGUGAAAAAGGUCAGAAGGACGUGAAGCGCUGCCUCGGUCGCUCACGCACAUCCAAUGCGGCCAUUAGCUCGUGGACACACCCCAAAUAGCCGUGCCGUGAUGUGACGUGACGCCCACCCCCCCGCAGUUUAUUUACGCUCACGCAGAGACACACAGAGAGACACGGAGACACACGCCACAUGUGACAUGUCGGACCCAGAGACCCCCACCACCACCACCACGCCCGAAGCUCCUGUCCCAGCCCAGUGCCGGGCCACCAAGACAGAGCUGGACAAGUGCGUGAAGGAGAAGACGGCGGAGGCCUGUAAGGAGCUCAUGGAGGCCUUUCGCUCCUGCCUCGAGGAUGCGCAGAAGAAGGUGUGAGGAGAGCAGAGGAGCGCCACAGGUCCACCGCACCUUCCCCGCAUUCCGUUGUGCACCUCGCGCUGGACUGAACCAUCAUGAUGGAGGAGGGGGCGGUGUGAAUGUGUCCCGCCGCAAACCACCGUAGCAGAACGAUACCGAGUGCUUGUAUGUGUCAAACAGCUCUUGCUGGUCUCAGACAAAAGCAGCAGCUGCAGGAAAAUGACACUGAUGAAAUGAAAUGCAUUAAACUGAAUUGAGCUGA